AUUGAACGCUGGCGGCAUGCCUUACACAUGCAAGUCGAACGGCAGCGCGGACUUCGGUCUGGCGGCGAGUGGCGAACGGGUGAGUAAAGCAUCGGAACGUGCCUAGGAGUGGGGGAUAACGUAGCGAAAGUUACGCUAAUACCGCAUAUUCUGUGAGCAGGAAAGCAGGGGAUCUUCGGACCUUGUGCUUCUGGAGCGGCCGAUGUCAGAUUAGCUAGUUGGUGAGGUAAAAGCUCACCAAGGCGACGAUCUGUAGCGGGUCUGAGAGGAUGAUCCGCCAAACUGGGACUGAGACACGGCCCAGACUCCUACGGGAGGCAGCAGUGGGGAAUUGUGGACAAUGGGGGCAACCCUGAUCCAGCCAUGCCGCGUGAGUGAAGAAGGCCUUCGGGUUGUAAAGCUCUUUCGGCCGGGAAAAAAUCGCUUGGGCUAAUACCUCAAGUGGAUGAUGGUACCGGAAUAAGAAGCACCGGCUAACUACGUGCCAGCAGCCGCCGUAA
rnacentral:rRNA from 1 species